CAUGGCUCAGGACGAACGCUGGCGGCGUGCCUAAUACAUGCAAGUCGAACGCUUUUUCUUUCACCGGAGCUUGCUCCACCGAAAGAAAAGGAGUGGCGAACGGGUGAGUAACACGUGGGUAACCUGCCCAUCAGAAGGGGAUAACACUUGGAAACAGGUGCUAAUACCGUAUAACAAUCGAAACCGCAUGGUUUCGGUUUGAAAGGCGCUUUUGCGUCACUGAUGGAUGGACCCGCGGUGCAUUAGCUAGUUGGUGAGGUAACGGCUCACCAAGGCAACGAUGCAUAGCCGACCUGAGAGGGUGAUCGGCCACAUUGGGACUGAGACACGGCCCAAACUCCUACGGGAGGCAGCAGUAGGGAAUCUUCGGCAAUGGACGCAAGUCUGACCGAGCAACGCCGCGUGAGUGAAGAAGGUUUUCGGAUCGUAAAACUCUGUUGUUAGAGAAGAACAAGGAUGAGAGUAGAAUGUUCAUCCCUUGACGGUAUCUAACCAGAAAGCCACGGCUAACUACGUGCCAGCAGCCGCGGUAAUACGUAGGUGGCAAGCGUUGUCCGGAUUUAUUGGGCGUAAAGCGAGCGCAGGCGGUUUCUUAAGUCUGAUGUGAAAGCCCCCGGCUCAACCGGGGAGGGUCAUUGGAAACUGGGAAACUUGAGUGCAGAAGAGGAGAGUGGAAUUCCAUGUGUAGCGGUGAAAUGCGUAGAUAUAUGGAGGAACACCAGUGGCGAAGGCGGCUCUCUGGUCUGUAACUGACGCUGAGGCUCGAAAGCGUGGGGAGCAAACAGGAUUAGAUACCCUGGUAGUCCACGCCGUAAACGAUGAGUGCUAAGUGUUGGAGGGUUUCCGCCCUUCAGUGCUGCAGCUAACGCAUUAAGCACUCCGCCUGGGGAGUACGACCGCAAGGUUGAAACUCAAAGGAAUUGACGGGGGCCCGCACAAGCGGUGGAGCAUGUGGUUUAAUUCGAAGCAACGCGAAGAACCUUACCAGGUCUUGACAUCCUUUGACCACUCUAGAGAUAGAGCUUCCCCUUCGGGGGCAAAGUGACAGGUGGUGCAUGGUUGUCGUCAGCUCGUGUCGUGAGAUGUUGGGUUAAGUCCCGCAACGAGCGCAACCCUUAUUGUUAGUUGCCAUCAUUUA
rnacentral:rRNA from 1 species